CCUACGGGAGGCAGCAGUGGGGAAUUUUGCACAAUGGGGGAAACCCUGAUGCAGCGACGCCGCGUGAGUGAAGAAGUAUUUCGGUAUGUAAAGCUCUAUCAGCAGGGAAGAAGAAUGACGGUACCUGACUAAGAAGCCCCGGCUAACUACGUGCCAGCAGCCGCGGUAAU
rnacentral:rRNA from 1 species